AAUUCAUAAUGAUCUUCUUCCGUAGGGGGACCUGCGGAAGGAUCAUUAUGAAUUAUAAAUAUUUGUGAAUUUACCACAGCAAACAAAAAUCAUACAAUCAAUAAUUAAAUAAUUAAAACUUUUAACAAUGGAUCUCUUGGUUCUCGUAUCGAUGAAGAACGCAGCGAAACGCGAUAUUUCUUGUGAAUUGCAGAAGUGAAUCAUCAGUUUUUGAACGCACAUUGCACUUUGGGGUAUCCCCCAAAGUAUACUUGUUUGAGCGUUGUUUCUCUCUUGGAAUUGCUUUGCUCUUCUAAAAUUUCGAAUCAAAUUCGUUUGAAAAACAACACUAUUCAACCUCAGAUCAAGUAGGAUUACCCGCUGAACUUAAGCAUAUCAAUAAGCGGAGGAAAAGGAUCAUUAUGAAUUAUUAAUAUUUGUGAGUUUACCACACCAAACAUCAAUCAUACAAUCAAUAAUUAAAUAAUUAAAACUUUUAACAAUGGAUCUCUUGGUUCUCGUAUCGAUGAAGAACGCAGAGAAACGCGAUAUUUCUUGUGAAUUGCAGAAGUGAAUCAUCAUUUUUUGAACGCACAUUGAACUUUGGGGUAUCCCCCAAAGUAUACUUGUUUGAGCGUUGUUUCUCUCUUGGAAU
rnacentral:rRNA from 1 species